rnacentral:sRNA from 1 species
UCAAUUUUUUAAAAAAUACUCCAGAGCACUUGUACACACAUUUCAUCAAUUCUUUUACUAGUAAAUUCAUUUAAACCAUUUGACAUGUCUCACCGAACUUGCUGCCUUGGUUGGAGCUGAAUCAGCUACCAUACAUGUAUAAAAUCACCGACAUUUCUUCAGGUACUGUUUCAAGUCUAGUCCAGGUAUUUUCCAUAUAGUUUCUGACAUGUACACUCCAUUUGUGGGUAGAUAUUACAGUGUCUUUCAUUUCUUUUCCCCUUCCAUCAUUUUUCCUAAUGUCUGAUUAAAGAGACUGAAUUUUCAGAUCAAAUUUGAUGCUCAUCCAAAAUUGAUUCUAUUCAGUUAUUGUGAAUAGAUGUUUUUAUUUCAUCAAUCUAUUAAAAUACUCAUGGUUACCUGUGCAAACUAUGAAAACAAUUGUUUUAGAUCACUUCUUUUUAUCAAAAAUUCAAUUUUGAAUAUUGAUUCUUUGCAAGGCAUUGAUACCAUUGAUCAUUGAUAUGAUAAACUUUACAAUGCAAGUCAGGUGAGCCUUAUGGUCAUACAGCCUCUGGAUGCUUCACUACUCUUCACUAUGUAAAGGGCUUAUAAUGUGGAGUCUUAAUAUAAAUCUUGGUUCCUGAGACUUCUGGUACCAUAGAGCCUCAUUUGUCCUUGUCAUGAAAAAGUUUACAAAUACAAGUCAGGUGAGCCGUACAAUCCAAAAGCCUACUUUUAGACCCUCAGUCUUAUUUACCGUACUCGAAUAUGUUAAUAUGGUGUAUUUAUAUGUUGCACUCUUUUCAUUCUAUGUUCACAUUAUGUGUUCUCUCGUUGACAGAGAACGAGUAGCAUUAAUAAAUGUAUAUUGCAAUAUG